UACAGAGGUCCCAAGCGUUGUUCGGAUUCACUGGGCGUAAAGGGUGCGUAGGCGGUUGGGUAAGUCUGACGUGAAAUCUCCGGGCUCAACCCGGAAACUGCGUUGGAUACUAUCCAGCUAGAGGAAUGGAGGGGAGACUGGAAUACUUGGUGUAGCAGUGAAAUGCGUAGAUAUCAAGUGGAACACCAGUGGCGAAGGCGAGUCUGUGGACAUUUCCUGACGCUGAGGCACAAAAGCCAGGGGAGCAAACGGG
rnacentral:rRNA from 1 species